rnacentral:rRNA from 1 species
CGUGUAGGCGGGGACAUAAGUCAGAUGUGAAAUACCGAGGCUUAACUUCGGGGCUGCAUCUGAAACUAUGUUUCUUGAGUGUCGGAGAGGAAAGUGGAAUUCCCAGUGUAGCGGUGAAAUGCGUAGAUAUUGGGAGGAACACCAGUGGCGAAGGCGACUUUCUGGACGAUAACUGACGCUGAGGCGCGAAAGCGUGGGGAGCAAACAGGAUUAGAUACCCUGGUGGUCCACGCUGUAAACGAUGGAUACUAGGUGUAGGAGGUAUCGACCCCUUCUGUGCCGGAGUUAACACAAUAAGUACUCCCACCGUGGGGAGUACCGGCCGCAAGGUUAGAA